rnacentral:tRNA from 1 species
UGGAUCACCUCCUAACAGGGAGACAAACAACGAUUUUGAUGUCUGAGUUUUUUUAUUCUUAGGCCAAAAUCCUGUCACCUUAGGUCGAUCGGUACCUCAACUUUGAAGCUAAGAGUAUUCAGCAAUGGAUAUCUGCUUAGUGGAGAUUUUUAGUUCCUAAACUUUGUCUAGUUCACAACCCAUUAGGGAUGAGACUCCUGGGCCAUUAGCUCAGGUGGUUAGAGCGCACCCCUGAUAAGGGUGAGGUCCCCGGUUCAAGUCCAGGAUGGCCCAUUCGGUGUAGGGGGUUUAGCUCAGUUGGUAGAGCGCCUGCUUUGCAAGCAGGAUGUCAGGAGUUCGAGUCUCCUAACCUCCACUGACUACCAAAAUCCCCAUCUCCAAAACCUGGAGUAUGAACUCGUAUGGAUUGUGAUUUAGAUGUGUCCGCUAGAUGACCCUAGCUUCUUGUCAUUUUAAGGCAUGGAAAAGAUUCCAUGAUAUUUAAUUGAUAGGAUGCUGGGCUCGAUUCAAUGUAUUGAGAGAUCAAUGCAUUGUUUUGAUGUCUGGUCGAACCUUGACAACUGCAUAGUAAGUCUGGAAAGAAUAAAGCAUCUUUAUGGAUGCAUCAUUCUUGAGUGUUAAUUCACGAUAAGAUGGUGUUAAUUCUAAAGCAAGAGCCGAGACUCCAGCAUGUUCUUUCAAAUGUGUCGAGCAUUUGAGAGUUUGAUUUUAAUUUCUAUUCGUAGAAGUUAGAAAAAUCUGUUUCAACGACAGCAAGCGUGUUGGAGAUACAUUGGUCAAGCUACAAAGGGCUCACGGCGGAUACCUUGGCACACAGAGGCGAUGAAGG